UACGAAGGUGGCAAGCGUUUGUUGACGGGAAUCAUUGGGCGUAAAGGGCGCGUAGGCGGGUUUGUAAGUCGGUUCGUGAAAUCCCUGGGCUUAACCUGGGAAUUGCAUUCGAAACGUGCAAAUCUUGAGUUCUCGAGAGGAUGGUGGAAUUCCUGGGAGUAAGUAGUGAAAUACGUAGAUAUCAGGAGGAACACCGGAGGCGAAGGCGGCCAUCCGUGGCGAGACACUGACGCUAAGGCGACGAAGCGUGGGUAGCAAACA
rnacentral:rRNA from 1 species